AGUUGCCACAAGUACUAUAUUAUAUAAGAAUAUAUUUAAUAAGAUCUAUCUCAAAUCAAGUAAGAUUACCUGCUGAAUUGAAGCAUCUAAGUAAGCAGAGGAAAAGAAAAUAACAAUGAUUCUCUUAGUAACGGCGAGUGAAUAGGGAAUAGCCCAAGCUUAAAUCAGCUUUGCUGAGUUGUAGUGUGUAGAAUCUAACUUUUGUUCAGUGUUAAUAUCAUAUAAUUUGGUUGGAAAACCAAGUAAUAGAAGGUGAUAACCCUGUAAUAUGAUAUGACUGAAUGUUGGAUUCUUGGAGUCGAGUUGUUUGGGAAUGCAACUCGAAGUGGGUGGUGAACUCCAUCUAAGGCUAAAUAUGUUCAAGAGACCGAUAGUGAACAAGUACCGUGAGGGAAAGAUGAAAAGAACUUUGAGAAAAGAGUGAAAUAGUACUUGAAAUCGUAUAGAGGUUAAGCAGAGUUGGUGGAUAUUGUAUUUGAAUGUACUAUAAUCAAUUGAUUAUGGCUUAUUCUUGUACAUAGUAUAAUUUGUGUGUGAAUUGGUUAAUAUUAAAACGAAUAUGCGCAUAAAUGAUAUAAAUCCUACAUCUCUGUCCCGUCUUGAAACACGGACCAAGGAGUCUAUCCUGUAUGCAAGUUGUAUGGUGUAAAACCAAUAAGCGUAAUGAAAGUAAGAGGUGUGAAAGUUGUAAAAGUGUCAACACCUGCCGAUCUAAAUUCUUUGAUGAAAGAUUCGAGUAUGAGCAUAUAGGGUGGGACCCGAAAGAUGGUGAACUAUGCCUGAAUAGGACGAAGCCAGGGGAAACUCUGGUGGAGGUUCGAGUGGAUUCUAACGUGCAAAUUGAUCUUUAAAUUUGGGUAUAGGGGCGAAAGACUAAUCGAACCAUCUAGUAGCUGGUUCAUUCCGAAAUUUCCCUCAGGAUAGCUGCAACUUAUGAAAUAGUUUUAUGAGGUAAAGCGAAUGAUUAGAGGUUUCUGGGAUGGAAUAUCCUGGACCUAUUCUCAAACUUUCAAUGGGUAAGAAAAGUGUGAUGUUUAAUUAAUCAUACUAUUUGAAUAUGAGUUGCAAGUGGGCCAUUCCGGGUAAGCUGGACUGGCAAUGCGGGAUCAACCGAACGCUAUGUUACGGCGCCAGAUUGUUCGCUCAGUUGGAUGUAAAAGGUGUUAGUUCAUCUAGACAGCAGGACGGUGGCCAUGGAAGUCGGAAUCCGCUAAGGAGUGUGUAACAACUCACCUGCCGAAUGAAGUAGCCCUGAAAAUGGAUGGCGCUUAAGCGAACAGCCUAUACAUAGCCAUUAUUGUUAGGAUUAUACAAUAAUGAGUAGGAAUGCGUGAUGAAUGUUGUGAAGUAUGAUGUGUGAACAUGUAUGGAACAUUCAUUAGUGCAGAUCUUGGUGGAAGUAGCAAAUAUUCAAAUGAGAUCUUUGAAGACUGAAGUGGAGAAAGGUUCCAUAGGAAUAGUGAUUAUCUAUGGGUUAGUCGAUCCUAAGAGAUAGGUGAAAUCCAUUGAAAAGUCAAUUUCGAUUGACAUUUAUCGAAAGGGAAUCAGGUUAAUAUUCCUGAACCAAAGAGAAGGGUAAACGGUAACGUAUAGGGGUCUCAAGACAUUGAUGUUAUUCCCAGGAAGAGUUUUCUUUUCUUGUUAACAAAUGGGCAGUGCUUGGAAUCGAUUCAGUCGGCGAUAAGCAUUGUUAUUUGGUAAAGUACUACUAUUUUGUGUAGUAUCUGGUGCAAUGACAUGAAUCCUUGAAAAUUGAGACUUUUGUUUUCCCGAAGCUUUGGUCGUACUAAUAACCGCAUCAGGUCUCCAAGGUGAAUAGCCUCUAGUUAAUAGAAUAAUGUAGAUAAGGGAAGUCGGCAAAUUAGAUCCGUAACUUCGGGAUAAGGAUUGGCUCUGAGGGCUAAGUGGGUUUAAGGUGUUAAUAGUAUAAGUUUGAUAUGGGAUUGAGUGUUUUGAGUUGCUUCGGUGAUUUGAAAUAUUUGGUUCUAAUGUCUUAGUUGUCUAUUUUCAUCUACCACUAUGAAUAGCUAACUCAGAACUGGUACGGACAAGGGGAAUCCGACUGUUUAAUUAAAACAAAGCAUUGUGAUGGUGUGAAAGAUAUGUUGACACAAUGUGAAUUCUGCCCAGUGCUCUGAAUGUGAAAGUGGCGUAAUUCAAGCAAGCGCGGGUAAACGGCGGGAGUAACUAUGACUCUCUUAAGGUAGCCAAAUGCCUCGUCAUCUAAUUAGUGACGCGCAUGAAUGGAUUAAUGAGAUUCCCACUGUCCCUAUCUACUAUCUAGCGAAACCACAGCCAAGGGAACGGGCUUGGAAAUAUCAGCGGGGAAAGAAGACCCUGUUGAGCUUGACUCUAGUUUAACAUUGUGAAAUGACUUUAGAGGUGUAGCAUAGGUGGGAGGAGGUAACUCCGAUCCUGAAAUACCACUACUCUGAAUGUUGUUUUACUUAUUCCAUGAAAGAGGAUACUUACUUAAUUGUAAGUGUUAUGAUGUAAACUUUGGUGACCUCUUUGGGAGACAUUGUUAGGUGGGGAGUUCGGCUGGGGCGGCACAUCUGUUAAAGAAUAACACAGGUGUCCUAAGAUGAGCUCAAUAAGAACAGAAAUCUUAUGUAGAACAAAAGGGUAAAAGCUCAUUUGAUUUUGCUUUUCAGUAUGAAUACAAACUAUAAAAGUAUGGCCUAUCGAUCCUUUAC
rnacentral:rRNA from 1 species